GUACGCAGGUUAACCCGAGGCCUGAGUGAGGAAGUCAAUGUCCUUGCUAGUCACUAUUUGUGGCGACACCUUCAAAUUGCGUGAAACCCGUCAUACAGCUUCAAGUACCACUUCAAUUGAGAAAUCUUUUGAAGGAACAGAGGUAACUCCUCUUCCCAAAGGUAACAAGCUUGAAGACAAGGUGGCAAUGCGCAGCCAAGCUCCUAAGUAUAAAAAUAUAAGGAGAAGGUUCAGAGAGCAGACGGAGGUGGGCGGUAAUUUAUCCGCUUAAGGUGUGCUCCAGCCUCUUUCGAAAGAUUGAG
rnacentral:ncRNA from 1 species